rnacentral:rRNA from 1 species
AACGAACGCUGGCGGCAGGCUUAACACAUGCAAGUCGAGCGCCCCGCAAGGGGAGCGGCAGACGGGUGAGUAACGCGUGGGAAUCUACCCAUCUCUACGGAAUAACCCAGGGAAACUUGGACUAAUACCGUAUACGUCCUAACGGAGAAAGAUUUAUCGGAGAUGGAUGAGCCCGCGUUGGAUUAGCUAGUUGGUGGGGUAAUGGCCCACCAAGGCGACGAUCCAUAGCUGGUCUGAGAGGAUGAUCAGCCACACUGGGACUGAGACACGGCCCAGACUCCUACGGGAGGCAGCAGUGGGGAAUAUUGGACAAUGGGCGCAAGCCUGAUCCAGCCAUGCCGCGUGAGUGAUGAAGGCCCUAGGGUUGUAAAGCUCUUUCACCGGUGAAGAUAAUGACGGUAACCGGAGAAGAAGCCCCGGCUAACUUCGUGCCAGCAGCCGCGGUAAUACGAAGGGGGCUAGCGUUGUUCGGAAUUACUGGGCGUAAAGCGCACGUAGGCGGACUAUUAAGUCAGGGGUGAAAUCCCGGGGCUCAACCCCGGAACUGCCUUUGAUACUGGUGGUCUGGAGUCCGGAAGAGGUGAGUGGAAUUCCGAGUGUAGAGGUGAAAUUCGUAGAUAUUCGGAGGAACACCAGUGGCGAAGGCGGCUCACUGGUCCGGUACUGAC